rnacentral:rRNA from 1 species
UGGGGAAUCUUGCGCAAUGAGGGAAACCUUGACGCAGCAACGCCGCGUGGGUGAUGAAGGCCUUCGGGUCGUAAAGCCCUGUCAGGUGGGAAGAAACAUGCCUUUAUGAAUAAUAUUGGCAUUUGACGGUACCACCGGAGGAAGCACCGGCUAACUCCGUGCCAGCAGCCGCGGUAAUACGGAGGGUGCAAGCGUUGUUCGGAAUUAUUGGGCGUAAAGCGCGUGUAGGCGGUCGGGUAAGUCAGAUGUGAAAGCCUUCCGCUUAACGGAAGAAGUGCAUUUGAAACUGCUUGGCUAGAGUACGGGAGAGGAGAGUGGAAUUCCCGGUGUAGAGGUGAAAUUCGUAGAUAUCGGGAGGAACACCAGUGGCGAAGGCGGCUCUCUGGUCCGAUACUGACGC